rnacentral:rRNA from 1 species
UACGUACGGGAGGCAGCAGUGAGGAAUAUUGGACAAUGGGUGGGAGCCUGAUCCAGCCAUUCCGCGUGCAGGAAGAAGGUCUUAUGGAUUGUAAACUGCUUUUAUAUAGGGAUAAACCUACUCUCGAGAGGGUAGCUGAAGGUACUAUAUGAAUAAGCACCGGCUAACUCCGUGCCAGCAGCCGCGGUAAUCGUA